rnacentral:rRNA from 1 species
AAGCAGAGGGGGCUUAGUGGUGGGGUGACUGCGUACCUUUUGUAUAAUGGGUCAGCGACUUAUAUUCUGUAGCAAGGUUAACCGUAUAGGGGAGCCGGAGGGAAACCGAGUCUUAA